rnacentral:rRNA from 1 species
UUUAAAUUUAGAGUUUGAUCCUGGCUCAGGACGAACGCUGGCGGCGUGCUUAACACAUGCAAGUCGAGCGAUGAAGCUUCCUUCGGGAAGUGGAUUAGCGGCGGACGGGUGAGUAACACGUGGGUAACCUGCCUCAAAGUGGGGGAUAGCCUUCCGAAAGGAAGAUUAAUACCGCAUAAUAUAAGAGAAUCGCAUGGUUUUCUUAUCA